GAAAGUUAGGUGUAGCGUAUUUGAGUUCUGAUUCUGGAAAGGAAUACAAAUUUUCUACAACCACCUAACUAGUUGCCAUUAUUUUUUUAAAAACCGAAAGGCAUUCAAAGAUACCGCGUCGUCUGUGCAUCUCCACCAGCUCUGUAUGACUCUCUUCUCCAUCUGACACGCUGAUCCUUGGGUGCCAACGCAAAAGUGGAGCGAAAAAACAAACAUGCAAAACAAGCAGUAUUUGAAAAGGCUUGUGCUCUUCUGUUCAUACAUCCAUUUUAUAAUUCAGAAACGGAUUGCUAGAGAGCAUAUUUUUCAAACUAUGCUUUAUACUAGUUUUUUAUCGACCAACGCCCCUCAGAAACACAGGUUUGAGCAUAUCAGUUUGUUGAGCUGCACCAUAAAACUAAUGUAAUCACGUGGCUCAUCACAUGAUAGCCUGAUACUAAAUUACAAUUUUAAUCAGUAAGAGCUGAUUAAGAUGCAACAGUCAAAGCAGAAUCACAUGAUCCCACUUGCAUCACAUCCUCUGCAGAUCUUGGUUCAAACUUAGUAUAAAUCUCAUCUUAUUAGCUGUCCGGGUCUAUAUAAUCCAAGCUAACAGAUCAAGUUUAGAAGCCUCUAUUGUAGCCUACCACAGUUUCGAAAAAAUCAAUUAUGAAUUCUCAGUGUAAAAUAGUACAAGCUAUUGUGUUAGCCUUCUUACUCAUUCUGCAUGGUUGGCCUAAUGGAACCGAGGCAGCACGAGGCCUUGGGACGAAAGCACACUCAGCUACUGCGUCGGCGUUGCCUUUGUCUUCACAGAAUGCCGUGAUCAAGGGUUCUCAUGAGCCAUUCAAGAGAGUGGAUUCGAGCUUUAGAAGGAUUCCACCAAGCAGAUCAAAUCCUACGCAGAACAAGUCUAAGCCUCCAUAAAACUUCACAAGCUAGCAAGUAACAAAUGAUCGAGAAAGAUAGUUCUUCAGAUGCAGGGUGAUUAUUUAAUUUUUUUUCUUUUGUUUAGUGUAACUGUGUAAGUGCUAGUUAUGAAGCACUCGAUUUUGUUCUUGUCUUUUAGUUCAUUCUUCUUAGUACUUUAUGUAAUGCAGCUCAGGCUUUGACAUGUGGUAAAUAUAAUAACCUCUUCCAGCCUAGA